ensembl:lncRNA
AAAAUAUUUUGGGGAAGAAUCCUAGAAGAUUUCAGCAUCCUGCCGUGCAAAAAAAAGCGUCUACGCAGAGACGAGAGAAAGCCCUUACUGCAGGCAUAGGUUAUCCACCCUCACGUGCUUCCUACAGCAAUCUCAAAGGAACAGUUUUGCAAGGUGAAUUGUUGCCCCAAAUGGGUUGUUAAGAGCUGUUAAUUAGCUCCUGGUGGGACGAGCAGCUGGGCCUGGUCUGUGGGGUGGGGAGGUGCAGCUGUGAGCUGGCAGAAACUGGCUGCUCAGCCUGGUAGAUCUCCAAAUAUUUGAAACUGGUAGAUCCAGGUUCUCAUUUUUGGCUGUUUUUAUUUUAUUGUGCAAGAGCAUCCUGUUAUCACCUCUCUCUGUGCUGAGCUGGUCUGCUCAGCAGCAGCCUUGGUGCUCUGCCUCGGGCUGCUGGCAUCUGGUUGUUCCCCAACAAGGCACAGAGCUGAGACCUCUCCAGUCGCCAAGACCUCUGUGAGAUUCCUGGAUAUGGCACUUCUGUGGCUAUGCUGCACCUGGCAGGAUGUGCCAACAGCACUGCCCAUCUCUUCAAGAAGAGCAGUCCUCCUGGUUGGUUCACUGACCAGAUUUACCCAUGAGAUCACACAGUGUGUAAAACUGGGAACCUAAUGAAAAAACAGAUGUGAUGCAACCCAUGGUGUUAACAAGCCUGAGGAAAACUGAUAGAAGUAUUUGGAAGCUUCAGUGUGAAUACAAAGACUGAUGAUUUUUUUUGUUUUGUUUUCAAUUGUUGCUACUGAAUACAGAGUGUGUUUGAAGAUCUGAAAUUUUCAUUUGAGGAAAAAGUUGCCUUCUUGUUCUUUUCCUCAUGCUGUGUUGACAUGUUUUCAUCAACUACAUCGUAUUACCUCUUCUACAUUAAAGGCUAAUCACAGACUUGGAGUCUGCAGUUACCAGCUACAAAUAGAACGAUUUCUCCCUGUGAGACCACAGCAUUCCUCAAGCAAUUUUCCACCUUUAUGCAGGUUUUUUGUUUUGUUUCAUGAGGGGUUUUUGUUUGUUUCUUACCAUCUGCCUUGCAAUUAAGUUAUUUAAAAGCACCCGCAUCAAAGAAGUGUUCUGGUUCUCUACAGACAGCACCACUGCAGUGCAGCAGUGACAAAAAUAAUCUACCCAGUUCCAUUGCUCAUUAUGAUGAAACAAAUAGUUCCCUUACUAUUUCUUACUGACAAUUACAAAAUCAAAUCACAAAAAACCCCACAUUUUCAAAAUGUGUGAAGAAAACCAUUCUUCUUCAGAUAAAACCCAGCUAGACAAUGAAAAUCAGAUCAGAAGCAUUUAUCUUCUAUUUACAUAUACAUAAAAUAUAUAUAGACAAAUCAUAAAGUUGCUGGAGAUUUUCAUUUUUCUUGUGUUUUUAGAAUAUGUUGAAUACAUUAUCUGUAUGAAAAUCAUAAUGGUAUGAUCCAAUAUCUAUAUUACAUUCAUAUUUUCAAUGUAAAAAUGUAUAUGUUGCUUUAAUGCUCCUUCUAGUCUUUAGGCUUUAUGGAGUGUGGAGAACAGGUACAGUUGAAGAAAGGGAUGGAAGAUUAGGGCUGAAGAGCAAUCUUAGGAAGCUCUGAAGCAGCUAGUACUUCACAUUAAUUGUUGUUAAGAGUGUUGUAGGGAUGAGCUUUUCAAAGGACACAAUAUUUAAACUGUGAGGCUAUACUAAAUGUAAAGGCAGAGGGGAAAAAAAGCAUGGAUUAGGGGAGCCAUUUAAAAAAGAAGCCAGCUUUGGCAUUUUUCCCACUUCUGUUUUUUCCCACUAUGCAAUAAUAAAGGGAGAAAGAAGGCAAAACA